rnacentral:rRNA from 1 species
UACGUAGGGUGCGAGCGUUAAUCGGAAUUACUGGGCGUAAAGCGUGCGCAGGCGGUUUUGUAAGCCAGAUGUGAAAUCCCCGGGCUCAACCUGGGAAUGGCAUUUGGGACUGCAAGGCUGGAGUGCGGCAGAGGAGACUGGAAUUCCUGGUGUAGCAGUGAAAUGCGUAGAUAUCAGGAGGAAUACCGAUGGCGAAGGCAGGUCUCUGGGCUGACACUGACGCUCAUGCACGAAAGGCGUGGGGAGCAAACAGG